UUGUCGUCAGCUCGUGUCGUGAGAUGUGGUUAAGUCCCGCAACGAGCGCAACCCUCGACCUUAGUUGCCAGCAUUCAGUUGGGCACUCUAAGGUGACUGCCGGCUAAAAGUCGGAGGAAGGUGGGGAUGACGUCAAAUCAUCAUGCCCCUUAUGACCUGGGCUACACACGUGCUACAAUGGGCGGUACAAAGGGUCGCGAACCCGCGAGGGGGAGCCAAUCCCAAAAAGCCGCUCUCAGUUCGGAUUGCAGGCUGCAACUCGCCUGCAUGAAGCCGGAAUCGCUAGUAAUCGCGGAUCAGCAUGCCGCGGUGAAUACGUUCCCGGGCCUU
rnacentral:rRNA from 1 species